rnacentral:sRNA from 1 species
GUGACAGAGUUAGGGAGGGAGUGGGUGACACAGUGACAGAGUUAGGGAGGGAGUGACUAGUGACAGAGAGAGGGAUGGGGUGACUAGUGACAGUCACCACCUCCCUCACUCUGUCACUAGUCACCACCUCCCUCCGUCACUGUGUCACCCCCUCCCUCACUCUGUCACCAGUCAUCCCCUUACUCUGUCACUAGUCACCCCUCCCUUCCCUCACUCUACCACUAGUCAC